rnacentral:rRNA from 1 species
UACGUAGGGGGCUAGCGUUGUCCGGAUUUAUUGGGCGUAAAGAGCGUGUAGGCGGCCAAGUAGGUCCGGUGUGAAAACUCGAGGCUUAACCUCGAGAUGUCAUCGGAAACCAUUUGGCUAGAGUCCGGAAGAGGAAAGUGGAAUUCCUGGUGUAGCGGUGAAAUGCGCAGAUAUCAGGAGGAACACCGGUGGCGAAGGCGGAUCUCUGGGCCUUACCUGACGCUGAGGCGCGAAAGCUAGGGGAGCGAACAGG